rnacentral:rRNA from 1 species
CNAAANCCUGCCGGANCAACCCCGCGUNAGGNAGNAAGGCUUUCGGGUUGUAACCCUCUUUUCUNUGGNAAAAAGUACUGACGGUACCAGAGGAAUAAGCCUCGGCUAACUCCGUGCCAGCAGCCGCGGUAAGACGGAGGAGGCAAGCGUUAUCCGGAAUUAUUGGGCGUAAAGCGUCCGUAGGUGGUGAUUCAAGUCUUUUGUCAAAGAAUGGAGCUCAACUCUGUAUAGGCGGAAGAAACUGAAUUACUUGAGUGUGGUAGGGGUAGAGGGAAUUCCAGGUGUAGCGGUGAAAUGCGUAGAUAUCUGGAAGAACACCAGUGGCCAA